rnacentral:rRNA from 1 species
UAAUACGUAGGUGGCGAGCGUUAUCCGGAUUUACUGGGCGUAAAGAGGGAGCAGGCGGCUUUUCAAGUCGGGUGUAAAAUCUCCCAGCUUAACUGGGAGGGAUCAUUCGAUACUGCUAAGCUAGAGGGCAACAGAGGGAGGUAGAAUUCCCGGUGUAGUGGUGAAAUGCGUAGAUAUCGGGAGGAAUACCAGUGGCGAAGGCGGCCUCCUGGGUUGUUACUGACGCUCAUUCCCGAAGGCGUGGGGAGCAAACAGGCUUAGAUACCCUGGUAGUCCACGCUGUAAACUAUGGACACUGGGUAUAGGGAGUAUCGACCCUCUCUGUGCCGAAGCUAACGCGUUAAGUGUCCCGCCUGGGAACUACGGCCGCAAGGCUA